UACGUAGGGUGCGAGCGUUAAUCGGAAUUACUGGGCGUAAAGCGUGCGCAGGCGGUUCGUUGUGUCGGCGGUGAAAGCCCCGGGCUCAACCUGGGAAUGGCCGUUGAAACUGGCGAACUGGAGUGUGGCAGAGGGGGGUGGAAUUCCGCGUGGUAGCAGUGAAAUGCGUAGAGAUGCGGAGGAACACCGAUGGCGAAGGCAGCCCCCUGGGCUGACACUGAC
rnacentral:rRNA from 1 species